CCGCUCCCUGCACUUCUUCAUGUCUCGACCUCCCUUCUUCGAGUCAGUUACAGCAAAAACACAGUGCGUGCUGUUUAUUGAUCACACCAGUCGAACAAAAGAUAACUAGGAUAUUGAAGACUGCCCAAUCUAGAAUAGCUCGUUGCUAGAAUACCUGCAUUACAGAAACCAGCUAAUGGAGAACAUCUAUUUCUGGGAACUGGAAAGCAAACACUGGCUCUGCAAUACUGGAACAGAUCGUGAGUGACAGGUGAGUACGGCUCAUCCAACUCAGCAGAAACCUAAGAAACCUAAGUUUGCUCAUAGCCUGUACACAGAGAUCCCAUUAAAGUAUGGCAACAUAGGUACCGUAUCCCCUGUACUCAGCACAAUUCAGCAGGAACAGCCCACUAAUUCAGUGGG